UUCAAAUGUAAUGACGUAAAUGUUGUUGUCUUUGUUCCCCCCAUGUUUACCUCAAUGGAACCUGAAGACCACUACCCCGUCAUUCCCUCAAAAGAUGGCACAGAUUUGGAAAGUUGUGGAAUUCCAAGACCGGAGUGCAGCAGUUGUGUCGUCCAGCUGGGUGGUAGAUGUUGACGGAGAAGUGGGAUGCUACUGGCCACCCUUUGGUGGAAACAAAGCUGUGAAGGCCGCCAUGAACUGCACCCCCCCGGGACAAGGAUGGCGAUUCCAUCAAAAAAUAAAGGUGCUGGCAACCUGUGGCACCUUUGCCAAAGCAAGACAUUACCUGACCCGAUCGCUUGAGGAAGGCUGCCUUACAGCAGACCUGCAAUCGGAUGAUGGU